GAUGCUCUGCUUGGCCAGGUUGUAGUGGUUUAUGACAGUGUAAAAUUUCUCCCGGGCACUGGAGUCUUGCUCCGUGUAGUAGCUCUCCAAGCCUUCUGGGAUGCACUGGGUAUUCUGGAAGACAGGAGGCCAUCGAGAUGCAGUAGAUACAAGGGUAUGCCAGCGUGUGCCUGCAGUUACUGUCCCCCAAUAGCUCCUCAGCAUCUCCCCUGAGCUUGCAGGAAGAAACACUAACAUUGACAGAGGGAUGGGGCCUGCCCUCAGAGGGACAGCUGUGUAGAGGGCUGUGCUACAGUGGGCACCUGGGCUCCCAGGAUAGAGGGAACAGGCGGUGUGCUUCCUCACACUCAUUGUUAGAAGCAAGGACACUUUGACACGCCUACAAACAAUCCUACUGAAGUAAGAGGAAGAACACUGACGAGGGCUUUCUUUGGGGCCAGUGAGAUGGCUCAGUGGGUAAAGGUGCUUGCUGUCAAAUCUGGCAACCCCUAGUUCAAUCCUCAGGAGCUCCAUGGUAGGAGAGAACAAGCUCCUUCCUUCCUGCAGGUUAUCUUCUGAGUUGAGCCAUGCAAUUAGCAUAGCAGCCAAUGACUAUUUCUGACCUGCCUUGUAGCCCUAUAAGGCCAUGUAACUAACACCAAGCCAAGAGAAUCGGAAUGGUUGUAUCAAGCAGCUUUGAGGCUGGCUCCCAGAGAACAGCUGUCCCCACUAGUGUCCACAUCUUCCCUUCUCUGCCAUCUCUGACUGUCCAGAGGACAAAACCCCAAAAGCCACAGGGCAGGGGAAGAUGGAUCCAGAACUUCAGAUGACUGACUCCCUGUGCUGCCUUCCCUUUGGACUUCUGAGACCAGGAGGAAGUAUGCCAUCCUGUUGAAGACACUGUUCCUCGUGUCCAGCCAUCCAAAACUUAUCACACCAAGCCUGCACAGAUGGGGAUCCCAGACCCCACAGUUGAGUCGGAGGUGGCUGCCACCUGUCCUUUGGGAGCUUUAGACCCAGACAUUCAUCUUUUUAAGCCUAGGGUAGCUUAACAGAUGUGUGCUGAAGCUAUCUGUAUUCCAAGUGUCUCCCUGAGCAGUCUGAGUCCAGCAGCUCAGCCAAGGCCACAGCCCAAGCAUAGGAAAGCCCUUCUGGUUUUCACCCGUGACACUCAAUGCUGAGUUGCUCUCUCCUCUCAGAUGACCUAGUUCCUCCAGCUCCAAACUCAGGUUAGCCCACCAGUGUAGUGGGCAGGUGGCCCAAGAUACCAGCGAGUAGUUCCUAGGAACUUUCUGUUGCCUGAGUCUGAAUGCCAAGGGCAGGUUCACGGGACAACUCCUUUGGAUGCCCUGCCCUAGAGAGAGAGUGUCCCGCGGAUCUCAAGCUUUGUUUCCUUCCUCUUGCAGUGAAGGAAGGGACUGCAGGGUGCACCCAUACACCGCCUUCCUUUUACUACACCUAGGUCUUUAGAGUACUUUCAGGCCAGUUCUCUCACUGUAGGGUUCAUGCCACUUAGUCCAUUUUAUAGGUAGAAAAGUGGAGCCUAGAGAGGUGAAGAGGCUUCGUGAAGCAGAUAUGAGAACCACGCAAGCAGAUCUGGGAAUAAGCUCCAGCUGGGACAUCCUGUCAUCAUUGUCCACCAGUACACCAGAAUCUGCCACCAGCAUCUUCAGUCCAGCCAGCACUUGCGGGUUCCUACCUUGAUACACAUGACCUCAUGUGUGCAGACCACCUAUACUUCCUGGUGCAGCAGCUCCCAUCUUGCCAACCCCCCACAACCCUCAGAGGUGGAGAUCUAGCACUCAGAGUGGCUCAGACUGCACAGAUGGAGCAUGAGAUGGCACACCUCUAAUCCCUGGCUGCCAGGUUCAGUGAAACACCCCACCCAAGAGGACAGGGAAAGAUAAUUGAGACAUAAGACACAAGA